AACGAACGCUGGCGGCAUGCCUAACACAUGCAAGUCGAACGAGACCUUCGGGUCUAGUGGCGCACGGGUGCGUAACGCGUGGGAACCUGCCCUUAGGUUCGGAAUAACUCCCCGAAAGGGGUGCUAAUACCGGAUAAUGUCUUCGGACCAAAGAUUUAUCGCCUUUGGAUGGGCCCGCGUUGGAUUUGCUAGUUGGUAGGGUAAAAGCCUACCAAGGCGACGAUCCAUAGCUGGUCUGAGAGGAUGAUCAGCCACACUGGGACUGAGACACGGCCCAGACUCCUACGGGAGGCAGCAGUGGGGAAUAUUGGACAAUGGGCGAAAGCCUGAUCCAGCAAUGCCGCGUGAGUGAUGAAGGCCUUAGGGUUGUAAAGCUCUUUUACCCGGGAUGAUAAUGACAGUACCGGGAGAAUAAGCGCCGGCUAACUCCGUG
rnacentral:rRNA from 1 species